GCUAACGGCGAUAGCACGUUGAACGCAAAAAUUCCCGAUGGAUCAUCGAAGUUAAGCAACGUUGCUCGUGCCUGAUAUCCAGAUGAGUGGCCAUGGUCAACUGAGAAAUCGCGUGCUCCUGGCU
rnacentral:rRNA from 1 species